UACAAAGGUGGCAAGCGUUGUUCGGAAUUACUGGGCGUAAAGGGCGCGUAGGCGGCCUCUUUAGUCAGACGUGAAAUCCCCCGGCUUAACCUGGGAACUGCGUCUGAUACUGGGAGGCUAGAGUUCGGGAGAGGGAUGUAGAAUUCCAGGUGUAGCGGUGAAAUGCGUAGAUAUCUGGAGGAAUACCGGUGGCGAAGGCGGCAUCCUGGACCGAAACUGACGCUGAGGCGCGAAAGCUAGGGGAGCAAACGGG
rnacentral:rRNA from 1 species